GAUGAACGCUAGCUACAGGCUUAACACAUGCAAGUCGAGGGGCAGCAUGGUCUUAGCUUGCUAAGGCCGAUGGCGACCGGCGCACGGGUGAGUAACACGUAUCCAACCUGCCGUCUACUCUUGGACAGCCUUCUGAAAGGAAGAUUAAUACAAGAUGGCAUCAUGAGUCCGCAUGUUCACAUGAUUACAGGUAUUCCGGUAGACGAUGGGGAUGCGUUCCAUUAGAUAGUAGGCGGGGUAACGGCCCACCUAGUCUUCGAUGGAUAGGGGUUCUGAGAGGAAGGUCCCCCACAUGGGAACUGAGACACGGUCCAAACUCCUACGGGAGGCAGCAGUGAGGAAGAUUGGUCAAUGGGCGCAGGCCGGAACCAGCCAAGUAGCGUGAAGGAUGACUGCCCUAUGGGUUGUAAACUUCUUUUAUAAAGGAAUAAAGUCGGGUAUGUAUACCCGUUUGCAUGUACUUUAUGAAUAAGGAUCGGCUAACUCCGUG
rnacentral:rRNA from 1 species